AACGAACGCUGGCGGCAGGCCUAACACAUGCAAGUCGAGCGAGGACUUCGGUCCUAGCGGCGGACGGGGGGGUAACGCGUGGGAACGUGCCCUUUGCUUCCGAAUAGCCCUGGGAAACUUGGAUUAAUACCGGAGGAGCCCUUUGGGGGAAAGAUGUAUCGGCGAAGGAUCGGCCCGCGUUGGAUUAGGUAGUUGGUGGUGUACUGGCAUACCAAGCCGACGAUCCAUAGCUGGUGUGAGAGGAUGAUCAGCCGGACUGGGACUGAGACACGGCCUAGACCGGUAGGGGAGGCAGCAGUGGGGAGUCUUAGGGGAGGGGGGAAGACGUGAUCAAGCCAUGCGGCGGAAGAGAGGAAGGGGUUAGGGUUGUAAAGCUGUUUCAGAUGGGGAGAGAAUGACGGUAAUGGCAGAAGAAGCACCGGCUAACUCCGUG
rnacentral:rRNA from 1 species